rnacentral:tRNA from 1 species
CGGAGAGUGGCGCAGAUGGCUAGCGCGCGCGGUUCGGGAUCGCGAGGCCGCCGGUUCGAGUCCGGCCUCUCCGA